UACGUAGGGUCCGAGCGUUGUCCGGAAUUAUUGGGCGUAAAGGGCUCGUAGGCGGUUUGUCGCGUCGGGAGUGAAAACCUACAGCUUAACUGUGGGCUUGCUUUCGAUACGGGCAGACUUGAGGCAUGCAGGGGAGAACGGAAUUCCUGGUGUAGCGGUGAAAUGCGCAGAUAUCAGGAAGAACACCCGUGGCUAAGGCGGCUCUCUAGUACGGUACUGACGCUGAGACGCGAAAGCGUGGGGAGCGAACAGG
rnacentral:rRNA from 1 species